rnacentral:hammerhead_ribozyme from 1 species
AUUCAGCUGACCAGUUUCAAAUAGGACGAAACGCGCUUCCUGGAU